AUUGAACGCUGGCGGCAGGCUUAACACAUGCAAGUCGAGCGAGCGGCGGACGGGUGAGUAAUGUCUGGGAAACUGCCUGAUGGCGGGGGAUAACUACUGGAAACGGUAGCUAAUACCGCAUACCAUCAGAUGAUCCCAUAUGGGAUUAGCUUGUAGGUGUGGUAACGGCUCACCUAGGCGACGAUCCCUAGCUGGUCUGAGAGGAUGACCAGCCACACUGGGACUGAGACACGGCCCAGACUCCUACGGGAGGCAGCAGUGGGGAAUAUUGCACAAUGGGGGCAAGCCUGACGCAGCCAUGCCGCGUGAAUAAAGAAGGCCUUCGGGUUGUAAAGUUCUUUCGGUGGCGAGGCGUUAACUACAGAAGAAGCACCGGCUAACUCCGUGCCAGCAGCCGCGGUAAUGC
rnacentral:rRNA from 1 species